GAGAGAGGUUCAAACGGGUUCAAAACAUCGAAUUUGACCGACACUGAACAGAGGUAUAUGGCUAUUUUCUUUGAAAAUAUAACACUUUCUAGUUCAAAAGAUAAAACCCAGAUGUAUACAUGGCCUGGAUUUCCAUAUUAUGCUGCCCAGAAUAAAAGACGAUGCAGUCCAGAUAAAAACAUUGUAUGGCUCAAUAAUCUUUACCAAACUUGAUGCAUCAGAUGAAGUCUUUGACUUUCUAGAAAGGGAUUUUGUAAGCUAGUACUGGACAUGAAGACAGUCACUUGGAAAUGAUGAUUGUGCAACAGCGGUUAAACAUAUGCAAUACAUCAUAUGGUGACCAGACAGGGAGGAAACUAGGGAAAUGGUUAUCCACCAACAGCCCAAGUGCUUGGUUGAUAAGAGGAGCCACAGCAUUAAACAUUACUGCACAAAGUGGUGUGCUUUGCUAACACUUAUGAUUGUGAUUUGA